CAAACACUUCAACAUAGACGUGCUUAAAGUAGCAUCCUCCAGCGGUUAAAGCAUAAAGUAUGCGUUGCUUGCGGAAGAACAUUGUUUUGCGCGAGUUGUGCUUCGGCUCCGAUAUUCAGCGCGGAUGAAUUUAAUGUCUUUGUAAACAUAUAGCUACAGAUGAUAGUUGUAUUAGUGCUAAUAUAACUAACGACAUCAAAACUCUAUGAAAAUAUGUCUUAUGAGCAGAUAUGACAUUAACAAGCAUGGAGGAAUUAUGAAAUAAUGAUUUCCCGGGAAAUCCAUCCUGAUGACUGAAAAAUAGUGCAACUUGCCAUAGUGACUUGAGCAUUGGCCUCCUCCACUAUUGACAGGAAUCUGUUGAUCUGAUCAAACGUUGGCGCGCAGAAGUCGUGAAUCCUGAUGUGAUGAAGGGUCAGGUCAGGACAGGUGUCAUGGUAAGGAGGUUUGCGC